AACAUUCAUUCUGUCGGUGGGUUGUUAUGCUGGAGGAGAAGCUCACUGAUCAGUGAAUGCAAC
rnacentral:pre_miRNA from 1 species